GUCCAGAUAGUGUAGGGGACUAUCAUGGGGCCCUGUCGAGGCCCCGACCCGGGUCCGAAUCCCGGUCUGGACG
rnacentral:tRNA from 3 species